rnacentral:rRNA from 1 species
UUCUAACCGUAAACGAUGUUAACUAGCGACUCGCAGGCGUUACUUUAACGGCCCUGCGAGGAGCUCCCGGGAAACCUAAGUGUUCGAAUUCCGGGGGAAGUAUGGUUGCAAAGCUGAAACUUAAAGGAAUUGACGGAAGGGCACCACCAGGAGUGGAGCUUGCGGCUUAAUUUGACUCAACGCGGGGAAACUCACUUGGUCAGGACACUGUGAGGAUUGACAGAUUGAAAGCUCUUUCUUGAUUCGGUGGAUGGUGGUGCAUGGCCGUUCUUAGUUGGUGGAGUGAUUUGUCUGGUUAAUUCCGAUAACGAACGAGACUCUAUCUUGCUAACUAGUCACAGGAUUAUUCUGACUGUGGAGCUUCUUAGAAGGACAGGGGGUUACAACCCCACGAGAUUGAGCAAUAACAGGUCUGUGAUGCCCUUAGAUGUCCAAGGCUGCACGCGUGCUACACUGAAUGCGUCAGCAUGUGAACCUAACUCGGAGGAGUCUGGGGAACCCUUUGAAACGUAUUCGUGCUUGGGAUUGGGACUUGCAAUUAUUUCCCACGAACGAGGAAUUCCUAGUAAGCGCGAGUCAACAUCUCGUGCUG